rnacentral:rRNA from 1 species
AAUAGAUACCCGGGUAGUCCACGCCGUAAACGAUGAGUGCUAGGUGUUGGGGGGACCCCCCUCAGUGCCGCAGGUAACCCAAUAAGCACUCCGCCUGGGGAGUACGGUCGCAAGACUGAAACUCAAAGGAAUUGACGGGGGCCCGCACAAGCGGUGGAGCAUGUGGUUUAAUUCGAAGCAACGCGAAGAACCUUACCAGGGCUUGACAUCCCGCUGACCGGUGUAGAGAUAUGCCUUUCCCCCUCGGGGGACAGCGGUGACAGGUGGUGCAUGGUUGUCGUCAGCUCGUGUCGUGAGAUGUUGGGUUCAGUCCCGCAACGAGCGCAACCCUUGUUUCUAGUUGCCAGCACUUCGGGUGGGCACUCUAGAGAGACAGCCGGUGAAAGCCGGAGGAAGGUGGGGAUGACGUCAAAUCAUCAUGCCCCUUAUGUCCUGGGCUACACACGUGCUACAAUGGCUGGUACAAAGGGCAGCGAACCCGCGAGGGGGAGCCAAUCCCAAAAAACCAGUCUCAGUUCGGAUUGCAGGCUGCAACUCG